AUGACACGAGAUAAGAGCUGGAUGGACAGGGAAAGAAAUUCUGUUGAGUGGCAAACUGGCAUGAAGGAUUUCUUGAAUUUUGCCUUAGAUGGUGCUCACCCAGACUCAACAGUCCCAUGCCCAUGUAGGAGAUGUCUCAAUGUUGUUCCAAAAACUAAAAAGGAAGUUCAUACUGACUUGUUGUUCAAUGGGAUGGAUCCAACCUACACUCACUGGAUAUACCAUGGUGAACAAUCCGAUGAGGCAAGCAUGUCUGAAGAUUCUGAUAAUGAAGAUGCUUUAGAUGAUGGUGCUGGGGUAUGUGACAUGCUCAAUACUCUCAUAAGGGGCACAAACAUGGAAAGCAAUGCAGACAUUGGUGAAGGUGUGGGAGACAUUCAUGUGGAUGCUUCCAGCGGUGAUGAAAGGAACCAGGAGCCAAAUGCAACAGCCAAGGUCUUUUUCGAACUAUUGAAAGAGGCAAAAAAAGAGUUGUACCUAGGUUGCAAGGAUUUCACGAAGCUAUCUUUCAUUGUGAAGCUUUACCAAAUCAAGUGUGUGUCUGGGAUGACCAAUAGAGCAUGUGACUUAGUUCUGCAGAUGUUCACGUAG
rnacentral:rRNA from 1 species